CAAUAGCGUAUAUUAAAGUUGUUGCAGUUAAAACGCUCGUAGUCGGAUUUCGGGGCGGGUCCGCCGGUCUGCCGAUGGGUAUGCACUGGCGGGCGCGUCCUUCCUUCCGGAGGCUGGCCCUACUCUUAACUGAGCGGGGUCGGAACUCGGAAAUUUUACUUUGAAAAAUCAGGGUGUUUCAAGCAGGCAGCUCGCUCUUGCAUGGAUUAGCAUGGGAUAAUGAAAUAGGACUUUGGUGCUAUUUUGUUGGUUUCGAGUACCGAAGUAAUGAUUAACAGGGACAGUCAGGGGCACUCGUAUUCCGCCGAGAGAGGUGAAAUUCUCAGACCAGCGGAAGACGAACCACUGCGAAAGCAUUUGCCAGGGAUGUUUUCACUGAUCAAGAACGAAAGUUAGGGGAUCGAAGACGAUCAGAUACCAU
rnacentral:rRNA from 1 species